UACGUAGGGUGCAAGCGUUGUCCGGAAUUAUUGGGCGUAAAGAGCUCGUAGGCGGCUUGUCACGUCGGCUGUGAAAACCUGGGGCUCAACCCCGGGCCUGCAGACGAUACGGGCUAGCUAGAAUUCGGUAGGGGAGACUGGAAUUCCUGGUGUAGCGGUGAAAUGCGCAGAUAUCAGGAGGAACACCGGUGGCGAAGGCGGGUCUCUGGGCCGAUAUUGACGCUGAGGAGCGAAAGCGUGGGGAGCAAACAG
rnacentral:rRNA from 1 species